GCUGGGCACGUUAUUAAUAGUUUUUAACGUGUUUACGUUACGGCUUCCAAAAAUCUUAGUGAGUUUUCUCUGCGCCCUCCCUCUUAGCGCCGCCUUUCCAUGCCCACCGUCCGUGACUGUCCCCCUGUCUAGCUUACCUCCGAAGAAGCUCCGGAGAGGCCAGGCUGGGCAGAGUGAGAGUGCUUUUACAUUUCUCUGACGCCGGUCUGCGAUUGUCCCCAGCCUUGUCUAAUUUGACUUUACCGGUUCGUCUUGGGCACAGACCGCUCUUUGAGGCUGCACAGCGCCACGGCUCGGCUGUCCUAUGUUUUGCUGUUGAAUUGGAAACCACCUGACUCUGUAUACACACUUGACUGACCUGUUGGACACUUCAGUUUGUCAGGUGCAGCUAUCAUCCUGAUGUGGUACAGCUUAUGGAAGCUUUGUUCAUUGACUGCCUUCCAUAUUCAUUGCAGCAUCUGAAUUCAUUGACUGGGAAAAUCAUGAGGCCCCUGCCAGGUCUCUUGCACUAGCUCUAUCAUGACACUCUAAGGAGGAACUUGGUUUUCAAACAAGUGAAUGGUUUGAGAGUUUUCCUGCCCUAAAUUUGUGAGACACAAUGGAGUGGAAAACUAAGAUAAGUAUCCAAAUUAUGUUUCUAUAUUCUAUGCCUGUAUUUUAUAGCUAUUUGAUUUCAAAAUAUUUUUCCUUGGUUCACUUUUACAGUCUUUGCUAUUUCUUUGUAUUUAUUGACACCUCUGUAUUGCUAUCUGUGUAUUUUCCAUCAGUUUAUAAUUCAUAUAUUUCAUUUAAAGAAUUACCUCAUUUUAGAAUCAAAGAUGCAAAAGGUCCUUCAGUAAUAGCUAAAAUUCCAAAUUUCCUUUCUCAAAAUCUAUAUGAUGAAAAAAAUUUAAAUAGGUAAACAAAAAUUGAAUUUGAGGCAAACGUAUCAGAUGGAAACACUCAUGCAAGCUUUUAUAGUUAUUUUUUUAGAAAGGAUCACAGAUUAGUUCUAUUAAGUUUAGAAAAGAUUAUUAUUCACAUGUCUAAGAUAAAUGGUAAAGUUAAGGAUAAGUGAUUAUUUGUAGGUAAGAGACAUAGAUGACAAUAAUUCUUUUUUUAUUUGCUGUAAUACAUAAUACAAGAACAAAGCUCUCUGUGGAAUGGCUUUUAUGUACUUAGAAGAAAUAAUGAAAGUCGAUUUGAUGUAUUACAAAAUUCAUAUUUGGAAUUCACUACCAUUUGGUUGUUAUUGAAACAAAUUUUUCCUCUGCAUUUUUAAAAAGUUGAAUAAUGUUUUUUCAUUAAUCAUCUUUUGAAGUUAUUUUGAAGUUAUGUUUCUAUAGGGCCGUAUAUAUACAUGAUGCCAUAUCAUGGAGAAAUUAUAAUCCUGAACAAAUGAAGCCCAUACCCAGAAGAGCCUAAAGUUUAUCUUUAUACAUAUUAGAAUAAAAAAAAUCAAAUUUCAUGGUUCAGUAUAGAACCUAAUCUCUGCAUGGUCUAGAAAGAAAACUGCUUUUAUAAGAGCAAUACUAAGCAUUUAGUCAGUGCUAUGGGGAGGAAAUCUUCCUGAACCAUAUGGCUUAGGGUGUCACAUGGCAUUGUUGUCUCACCUCUGUAAUGAACUUCUUUUCAUAAAGCAGUAUUUUGAGUCCCAGACCUAUAAGAAACAUUUCUGACGGUUAUAACUGCUAUGUGAAAAGAUGGAUAUUAACAGCAGCAUUUCUAAAAUGCCUCUUUAUUGAACUCCUUCAUUAAAACCAGAACUCUUUUUAAAAAACAUUUA